AUUCUUUCUACACAUGUUGAAGAAACUACUGCAAGUUAAAUUUGGAUAAAUAUCUCAGUAUCUGAUGCAUCCAGAUGAAGAAACUAUCUCAGAAGAGUUAAGUGAGUUGCUCAAGGCCACUCAGCUAGUUUAAAUUAGAGCAUGACUUUGAAUAAGCCGAUAUAUAUAUAUAUAUAGCUACAUAAAGACAACUAGCCAAUCAACGAAGUAUCCAGCCAGUGCUUUGUUAUGAAUCCAGCAUUCUUGCAGAUUGGUGCAUUGAGAUUUGUAGAUAUAAUUUGAAAUUUAGAAAGUGCUUCGUCUUCUGCCAUAUCACUCUGUAGCACCUGCGGUAUGCAGCUAUAUACAAGGCUGAUGGAGAGCAAAAGAGGCUGCCCUAUAGCACUUUAAAGAAAAGUUAUUAGGCUGGUCUUCAAAUUGGCCCUUGAGAAGCAGGUAGCUCCCUUGCUGCUAAACAGAUGUGCUGGUAGCAGCUUGGGAAUAAAGAGCAGCAGCAGAGUCUGGCCCAAAUACUCAUUUUUACCCAAGCAAGACUCCAGUCUGAGAGAAAAAGAACUGCUUAGAUAAGGUGAAUGAAAGAGAAGUAUGUAUGACUCAGUUCUUUCAUUUGCCUUGCAAACCCAUCUGUGGCUCUAGUGGAGAGCAGGUCAGAAGCCCAAGAGCAAUGGUUAUCAUUUCCCAUAGAGUUGUGUGUAUAUAUAUACACACAUAUAUAAAGCAAAAUUAUAUACAUAAAAAUGAUAUAUAUCUCUCUAUACAUACAUGUACGUAUACAUAUUUUACAUCUGCUCAUUUUGCUUUGUUAGUCUAAUGCCAAGGUUUCUAUGAGUAUGGCACCCUUGUAGUCCUUCACAGAACAGACUUGAAACCUAUGGUUUCUAGGCACUAAACGUUAUCUCUUGCUACUAAGCCAUAUUGUAUUCCUCACAUUCUCAGGCCAAACCUUUUGAUGACUCCUUGCAUUUCAAUAUAAUGUUACCUCUGUCUUCAAGGUCUCCUCUUAAUUCUGUGACCGACUUCUACUGAUGUUUCUAAAUACAAUUGAAAUGGUACCUUCUUGUUAAAGCCUUUCCAAAUUCCUUCAGGCCACUGGUUCUAUCCCUUGUGCUCCCAAAGUACUUAGUUCAUCCUGCUGUUGCAGCACUAGGCACCUACCGUAAUUAUCACUUUAUUUGUCUGUCAUCCCUCUCUCUGAUGAGCUGCUGGAGCAGGGAUUGUUUUCAUAUCCUUAACAUCUAGCACAGACCUAGACUUCAUAAUAGGUGCUCAAUAAAUGAGUGACUGCAAGAAUAAAUGAAUGAAUAAAAUAUACCACCUCAUGUUUGAAAUGUACUUGAAUUCUUCCAACCAGCCUUUUCUUUUGUGCCGCUUUUCUUUAUCUUCUUCCCGGCAGCACGUUCUUCUGUCCUACCUGGUAGAUUUUAGAGCUUAGGAAAUAUGUGUUUGAAGAUUUAAAAUAUAGUUCUUUGAACUCCUUAGAGGAAAAGUCUAUGAAUAAAUAAUUAGACUCAUUUCACAUCAAAAUCUAAAGUGUGAAAAAAUGUUCGUAUCAUUUGGUGCUUUAUUCACUUGUAUGGUAAUCUAAUGGCAUAUCCAUUGUUAACGCUGAACUAUACUGAAAUAUUUUACUCUCAGGGCUUUUCUUCUGACAAAGGAGGCUUUUUGAAAAUGAAAAAUCACAGCUCCUGUCCCUGGUAUGCUAUGGGGAAAUUUAUUAGUUUUGUAAUGCAUGGGUUAAUAUUACCAUUUUUUAUAUUGAAUAUUACUUAAAAAAAUUACUAUUAAUAUCACUGCAGCAUGUAUGUAUAUAAGUCCUGUCAUCUUUGGGGUAUGUAAAUCAGGAAUGUUGCUGAAGAACUACUUAGCAUUUUCUUGGGGGUGAAGUGCUUAGUUUUGGAAUUUAAUUGUAGGUUUUACAUUUAAGCUGUUCAGUAUUACUCUUCUAAAGGUUCUAUAAAUUUCUUGCUUUGUAGUUUAACAGGUUUAGUCACCACAGUUGAAAGGCAUCAUCCUCAUAAUGAAGCCAGAGAAGAAUAAAGGUUGAUCAUGCAGGGCUGGCUGGCUGUGACAUUGAACAAUAGAGCUUGACUUCUUCAUGUCUGUUAAAUUAGACUAUGGGGUGUGCUUAUCUUGCUGCAAUGAUACUGAAUUGUAACAUGAAAAUGUUAUGUUGUGCAGCUCUGCGAAGGGAGUGCAUCUGUUCUCACCUAAUAUGUAUGGCAAAAGCUUUAAAAUACUACUGAAGCUGCCUAGUGGGCUUAAAGUCUAAUGGCACAGAAUUGGGCAUAAUAAUGAAACAAAAAUAAAGAAAAAGUGCAAAGGCU